rnacentral:rRNA from 1 species
AGUUGUUGCGGUUAAAAAGCUCGUAGUUGGAUUUCUGCUGAGGACGACCGGUCCGCCCUCCGGGUGAGCAUCUGGUUCGGCCUUGGCAUCUUCUUGGUGAACGUAGCUGCACUUGACUGUGUGGUGCGGUACCCAGGACUUUUACUUUGAGGAAAUUAGAGUGUUUCAAGCAGGCAUACGCCUUGAAUACAUUAGCAUGGAAUAAUAAGAUAGGACCUCGGUUCUAUUUUGUUGGUUUCUAGAGCUGAGGUAAUGAUUAAUAGGGAUAGUUGGGGGCAUUCGUAUUUACCUGUCCGAGGUGAAAAUUCUUGGAUUUGU